CACCAGGGAAGGGGCUGGCCCCUAGACAGCCCAGGAAGCACACAGGGAAGGAUGUCCUGGGGACUUCAGUAUGUUAUUGCAAAAACAUUUAUUGCUAUUUGAACCCUGCUUUCAUGCCUCCAUUUCCCAGAAAAUGAGCCACGGGAGACACCAGGAGAGGCAGGAGACCAUCCUCCUUGCACAAAACCCACUUCCUCAGAUGCUGUCCUCAGCGAGGGUGGCUGGGGCCAACCAGGGGGCCCACCCGCAGAGUGGCAGAGGAGGCAGGUUGACCCUGCAGACAUUGAGCUCUGUAGUGAAGGUCCUGGCCUUCUGGUAGAAGAAGAGCAACUUCUCGUGGUCCAGGAGGAAGUUGUGGGAGAUGGUGGCCGGCCGCGUGUGGGUCUUCAGCUGUGCCCUUCUUGUUACCCAGGUCCACGGCGGCUGCCAGUGCCAGCUGGUAGUACCCAGCUGCAUCAAACCGUUCCUGAAGGGGACAGGCCAUGCUCAGCAAAAGGGGGACUCGGAGCCUGUCUUCCCAGAGGCUGUUCCUAUCUCCAGGUCAUGCCACAUGUCCAGCCAAUGCUGGCUCACCCCAUGAGCCCCGAAGCCUGUGACACUGCUGUGGUCUCAGCUGCAGGAGUUGGGGACAACCCUGGCAGCCUUCCUGACUAUCCCUAUGCUCCACUCACCCCAAGCCUCUUGCCCCAGUCCCACCCUCUCUGCGGGCAGUGGCUGCUUUCCCCAUGGGCUGAGGUCAGGGCAGAUCCUGCCUGCUCUGAGAGUUCCAUGCAGGACCCGUGGCUCCAAGCCACAGCAGGGGCACAGCGUUGAGUGACCCAGGCUCCCCUCUGGCCCCUUUCCAUGCUGACCAUUUCCAGGCCCUCCACCAGCCAGACCAGGUACAAAACCAUCUCACAGGUGUCCUCCCUGGCAAUGGUCCCUGAAACAUUGACGGAGUGUGACUCCCCAGACCUCCACUCCCAUUUUCAAUGCAUCUUUGGCUCAAACUCACCAUCCC
rnacentral:lncRNA from 1 species